AACCAAGGAGAUGAAAGGUGAAAAGAUGCUCUCUAAUCAUCAAGAAAAUGCAAAUCAAAGCCACAAUGAG